ACCUGUGCACCCUCUGUAGUUCUAUGGUCUGGGGGGCCCUGCCUCCCUUCCGUGGUUCUGCAUCUUUACACACACUGUAAUAAAGUCUUAUGGAAUGUAUGCCGCGUUUAACGCAAUACAAUACAACUUUCAGCAACGGAUCUCUUGGCUCUCGCAUCGAUGAAGAACGCAGCGAAAUGCGAUAAGUAAUGUGAAUUGCAGAAUUCAGUGAAUCAUCGAAUCUUUGAACGCACCUUGCGCCCUUUGGCUAUUCCAAAGGGCAUGCCUGUUUGAGUAUCAUGAACACCUCAACUCUCACGGUCUGCCGUGAAGAGCUUGGACUUUGGGGGCUUUGCUGGCCUAUGGUCGGCUCCUCUCAAAUGAAUCAGCUUGCCAGUGUUUGGUGGCGUCACAGGUGUGAUAACUAUCUACGCUUGUGAUCGUCCACCGGGUAACCUUCAGCAAUGGAGGUUCGCUGGGGCUCAUAGACGUCUCUCCUCAGCGAGGACACCUUUUAAAAGUUCGAUCUCAAAUCAGGUAGGAUUACCCGCUGAACUUAAGCAUAUCAAUA
rnacentral:rRNA from 1 species